UACGUAGGGUGCAAGCGUUAAUCGGAAUUACUGGGCGUAAAGCGUGCGCAGGCGGUUUUGUAAGUCUGUUGUGAAAUCCCCGGGCUCAACCUGGGAAUGGCAAUGGAGACUGCAAGGCUAGAGUUUGGCAGAGGGGGGGUAGAAUUCCACGUGUAGCAGUGAAAUGCGUAGAUAUGCGGAGGAACACCGAUGGCGAAGGCAAUCCCCUGGACCUGUACUGACGCUCAUGCACGAAAGCGUGGGGAGCG
rnacentral:rRNA from 1 species